GCGGCGGUAGCUCAGUUGGUAGAGUCCCGGGUUGUGAUCCCGGUUGUCGUGGGUUCGAGUCCCAUCCGUCGCCCCA
rnacentral:tRNA from 2 species